rnacentral:rRNA from 1 species
CAAGUCGAACGCGAAGUUUCCCGGAGCUUGCUUCGGGAAACAAGUAGAGUGGCGCACGGGUGAGUAACACGUAGGUAAUCUACCUUCGGAUGGGGAAUAACAACCGGAAACGGUUGCUAAUACCGCAUAAUGCAGCGGCACCUAAUGGUGACAGUUGUUAAAGCGGGGGAUCGAAAGACCUCGCGUCUGAAGAGGAGCCUGCGGCGGAUUAGCUAGUUGGUAAGGUAAUGGCUUACCAAGGCGACGAUCCGUAACCGGCCUGAGAGGGCGGUCGGUCACACUGACACUGACAUACGGGUCAGACUCCUACGGGAGGCAGCAGUCGGGAAUUUUGGGCAAUGGGCGAAAGCCUGACCCAGCAACGCCGCGUGAAGGAUGAAAUCCCUCGGGAUGUAAACUUCGCAAGAACGGGAAGAAUAAGCGAGAGUUAAUAUCUUUCGUGAUGACGGUACCGUUUGUAAGCUCCGGCUAACUCCGUGCCAGCAGCCGCGGUAAUACGGGGGGAGCAAGCGUUGUUCGGAUUUACUGGGCGUAAAGGGCGCGUAGGCGGCCAGCGCAAGUCAGUUGUGAAAUCUCCGAGCUUAACUCGGAAAGGUCAACUGAUACUGCGCGGCUAGAGUGCGGAAGGGGCAACUGGAAUUCUUGGUGUAGCGGUGAAAUGCGUAGAUAUCAAGAGGAACACCUGCGGCGAAGGCGGGUUGCUGGGCCGACACUGACGCUGAGGCGCGAAAGCCAGGGGAGCGAACGGGAUUAGAUACCCCGGUAGUCCUGGCCUUAAACGAUGAAUGCUUGGUGUCUGGGGUUACAUAGUCCCCGGGUGCCGUC